rnacentral:rRNA from 1 species
UACGGAGGAUGCAAGCGUUAUCCGGAAUGAUUGGGCGUAAAGCGUCCGCAGGUGGCAAUGUAAGUCUGCUGUCAAAGCGUCUGGCUCAACCAGAUAAAGGCAGUGGAAACUACAUAGCUAGAGUAAGGUAGGGGUAGAGGGAAUUCCUGGUGUAGCGGUGAAAUGCGUAGAGAUCAGGAAGAACACCGGUGGCGAAGGCGCUCUGCUAGGCCGCAACUGACACUGAGGGACGAAAGCUAGGGGAGCGAAAGGG